GGUGUCAGAAGUGGGAUCGCAGAGGGGCCACAAAAAGAGGAGUGACAGAGUGUGCUGUGUGCUGCAUGGCCCUGCGUGCAGCAACUUGUGUCCUGAAUAAAGACCAGUCCUCCUCA